rnacentral:rRNA from 1 species
AGGGAAUAUUGGUCAAUGGGCGAGAGCCUGAACCAGCCAUGCCGCGUGCAGGAAGACGGCCCUCUGGGUUGUAAACUGCUUUUAUACGGGAAGAAAAGGCCUCUGCGGAGGACAUUGACGGUACCGUAGGAAUAAGCCACGGCUAACUACGUGCCAGCAGCCGCGGUAAUACGUAGGUGGCGAGCGUUAUCCGGAUUUAUUGGGUUUAAAGGGUGCGUAGGCGGCUUUUUAAGUCGGUGGUUAAAGGUAGCAGCUCAACUGUUUUACAUGCCACCGAUACUGAAGAGCUUGAGUUAUCAGAAGGCAGGCGGAAUUUCUGGUGUAGCGGUGAAAUGCAUAGAUACCAGGAGGAACCCCAAUUGCGAAGGCAGCUUGCUGCAGAUAAACUGACGCUGAGGCACGAAAGUAUGGGGAUCAAAC